rnacentral:rRNA from 1 species
UACGGGGGGGGCAAGCGUUGUUCGGAAUUACUGGGCGUAAAGGGCUCGUAGGCGGCCAACUAAGUCGGAUGUGAAAUCCCCAGGCUCAACUUGGGAACUGCAUCCGAUACUGGAUGGCUUGAAUCCGGGAGAGGGAUGCAGAAUUCCAGGUGUAGCGGUGAAAUGCGUAGAUAUCUGGAGGAACACCGGUGGCGAAGGCGGCAUCCUGGGCCGGUAUUGACGCUGAGGAGCGAAAGCCAGGGGAGCAAACGGG